GGGCGUGUAGCGAAAUGGUAUAGCGUCUGAUUUAGGAUCAGAAGGUUGUAGGUUCGAGUCCUACCACGCCUACCA
rnacentral:tRNA from 1 species